rnacentral:lncRNA from 10 species
CUCUCUCGGGGCUGGUGGCCUGCGUGGGCGGCCGGGUGGUCGGCAGAGCCGCCGGGGCCCCCGGGCUCAGAAAGAGGCCGAAAUGGCUGCGAAGCAGGCCCCGGGCAGGAGUCGCUCGGGCGCAGGGAGGAAGUGAACCGGCCGGAGGUAGCGCCCGGCUGCUGGCCCCACAGUCCCGACACCUUCGGAACUCCUAACUCCUUUACUUGUCCGGCUGAAAGGUCACCAGCCCCAGUCCCCAGCUGUGCCGCUUGCUGGGCACAGAGCCUCUGGUAACUGCCCCCUGAUACACACAGUGCCCGGGGAUAGAACCCGUGUGCGUGGACCUGGGUGACUGGGAGGCCACCGAGCGGGCGCUGGGCAGCGUGGGCCCCGUGGACCUGCUGGUGAACAACGCCGCUGUCGCCCUGCUGCAGCCCUUCCUGGAGGUCACCAAGGAGGCCUUUGACAGAUCCUUUGAGGUGAACCUGCGUGCGGUCAUCCAGGUGUCGCAGAUUGUGGCCAGGGGCUUAAUAGCCCGGGGAGUCCCAGGGGCCAUCGUGAAUGUCUCCAGCCAGUGCUCCCAGCGGGCAGUAACUAACCAUAGCGUCUACUGUGAGUGCCCCAGCUGUGCCCUC